CCUACGGGAGGCAGCAGUGGGGAAUAUUGCGCAAUGGGCGAAAGCCUGACGCAGCGACGCCGCGUGAGGGAUGAAGGUCUUCGGAUCGUAAACCUCUGUCAGCAGGGAAGAAAGGUCACUGUGCUAAUCAGCAGUGAAUUGACGGUACCUGCAAAGGAAGCACCGGCUAACUCCGUGCCAGCAGCUGCGGUAAUACGGGGGGUGCGAGCGUUAAUCGGAAUUACUGGGCGUAAAGGGCGCGUAGGCGGUAUGUCAAGUCAAGGGUGAAAGCCCCGGGCUCAACGUGGGAACUGCUGUUGAAACUGGCAAACUGGAGUGUGUGAGAGGAUAGUGGAAUUCGAGGUGUAGGAGUGAAAUCCGUAGAUAUCUGGAGGAACACCAGUGGCGAAGGCGACUAUCUGGCACAUAACUGACGCUGAGGAGCGAAAGCGUGGGUAGCAAACAGGAUUAGAUACCCUUGUAGUC
rnacentral:rRNA from 1 species